UACGGGGGGGGCAAGCGUUGUUCGGAAUUAUUGGGCGUAAAGGGCGCGUAGGCGGCCCGAUAAGUCAAAGGUGAAAUCCCUCGGCUCAACUGAGGAACUGCCUUUGAAACUGUCGGGCUUGAGGCCGGGAGGGGGUGGCGGAAUUCCCAGUGUAGCGGUGAAAUGCGUAGAUAUUGGGAGGAACACCAGUGGCGAAGGCGGCCACCUGGACCGGUUCUGACGCUGAUGCGCGAAAGCGUGGGUAGCAAACAGG
rnacentral:rRNA from 1 species